rnacentral:rRNA from 1 species
GAUGAACGCUGGCGGCGUGCCUAAUACAUGCAAGUCGAGCGAACAGAUAAGGAGCUUGCUCCUUUGACGUUAGCGGCGGACGGGUGAGUAACACGUGGAUAACCUACCUAUAAGACUGGGAUAACUUCGGGAAACCGGAGCUAAUACCGGAUAACAUAUUGAACCGCAUGGUUCAAUAGUGAAAGGCGGCUUUGCUGUCACUUAUAGAUGGAUCCGCGCCGUAUUAGCUAGUUGGUAAGGUAACGGCUUACCAAGGCAACGAUACGUAGCCGACCUGAGAGGGUGAUCGGCCACACUGGAACUGAGACACGGUCCAGACUCCUACGGGAGGCAGCAGUAGGGAAUCUUCCGCAAUGGGCGAAAGCCUGACGGAGCAACGCCGCGUGAGUGAUGAAGGUCUUCGGAUCGUAAAACUCUGUUAUCAGGGAAGAACAAAUGUGUAAGUAACUGUGCACAUCUUGACGGUACCUGAUCAGAAAGCCACGGCUAACUACGUGCCAGCAGCCGCGGUAAUACGUAAGUGGCAAGCGUUAUCCGGAAUUAUUGGGCGUAAAGCGCGCGUAGGCGGUUUUUUAGUCUGAUGUGAAAGCCCACGGCUCAACCGUGGAGGGUCAUUGGAAACUGGAAAACUUGAGUGCAGAAGAGGAAAGUGGAAUUCCAUGUGUAGCGGUGAAAUGCGCAGAGAUAUGGAGGAACACCAGUGGCGAAGGCGACUUUCUGGUCUGUAACUGACGCUGAUGUGCGAAAGCGUGGGGAUCAAACAGGAUUAGAUACCCUGGUAGUCCACGCCGUAAACGAUGAGUGCUAAGUGUUAGGGGGUUUCCGCCCCUUAGUGCUGCAGCUAACGCAUUAAGCACUCCGCCUGGGGAGUACGACCGCAAGGUUGAAACUCAAAGGAAUUGACGGGGACCCGCACAAGCGGUGGAGCAUGUGGUUUAAUUCGAAGCAACGCGAAGAACCUUACCAAAUCUUGACAUCCUUUGACCGCUCUAGAGAUAGAGUCUUCCCCUUCGGGGGACAAAGUGACAGGUGGUGCAUGGUUGUCGUCAGCUCGUGUCGUGAGAUGUUGGGUUAAGUCCCGCAACGAGCGCAACCCUUAAGCUUAGUUGCCAUCAUUAAGUUGGGCACUCUAAGUUGACUGCCGGUGACAAACCGGAGGAAGGUGGGGAUGACGUCAAAUCAUCAUGCCCCUUAUGAUUUGGGCUACACACGUGCUACAAUGGACAAUACAAAGGGCAGCUAAACCGCGAGGUCAAGCAAAUCCCAUAAAGUUGUUCUCAGUUCGGAUUGUAGUCUGCAACUCGACUACAUGAAGCUGGAAUCGCUAGUAAUCGUAGAUCAGCAUGCUACGGUGAAUACGUUCCCGGGUCU